rnacentral:lncRNA from 1 species
AGUUUGUCCAUCUUCCUCUUUUUAGUGGUGAGGACCCACUUGAAAUCACUUGACCAGGCUACUGCGGUGGGUGUGUGGAAUGGGGCAGAGGAUUUCUGGAACACCUUGUGGAACAUGAGGAUGAAUGAUGAAAACCUGUCCGUAGAGCACGGUUGCAGUAGGAGGGUGCCAGGCUGUAAGCAGGGGUUCAUGAGCCACAAACUUCCCCUGCUAGGCCUGAGUCCUGAAGGCUCCACUCCUGCA